AUUGAACGCUGGCGGCAUGCCUUACACAUGCAAGUCGAACGGCAGCACGGGAGCUUGCUCCUGGUGGCGAGUGGCGAACGGGUGAGUAAUAUAUCGGAACGUACCCUAGAGUGGGGGAUAACGCAGCGAAAGUUGCGCUAAUACCGCAUACGAUCUACGGAUGAAAGUGGGGGAUCGCAAGACCUCAUGCUCAUGGAGCGGCCGAUAUCUGAUUAGCUAGUUGGUGGGGUAAAGGCCUACCAAGGCUUCGAUCAGUAGCUGGUCUGAGAGGACGACCAGCCACACUGGAACUGAGACACGGUCCAGACUCCUACGGGAGGCAGCAGUGGGGAAUUUUGGACAAUGGGCGCAAGCCUGAUCCAGCAAUGCCGCGUGCAGGAUGAAGG
rnacentral:rRNA from 1 species